AUUGAACGCUGGCGGCAUGCCUUACACAUGCAAGUCGAACGACGCUGGAGGGGCAACUCUCCAGCGAGUGGCGAACGGGUGAGUAAUACAUCGGAACGUGUCCUGUCGCGGGGGAUAACCAGUCGAAGAUUGGCUAAUACCGCAUGAGAUCGAAAGAUGAAAGCGGGGACCCGGCAAGGGCCUCGCGCGAUUGGAGCGGCCGAUGCCGGAUUAGCUUGUUGGCGGGGUAAUGGCCCACCAAGGCGACGAUCCGUAGCUGGUUUGAGAGAACGACCAGCCACACUGGGACUGAGACACGGCCCAGACUCCUACGGGAGGCAGCAGUGGGGAAUUUUGGACAAUGGGCGCAAGCCUGAUCCAGCCAUGCCGCGUGUGUGAAGAAGGCC
rnacentral:rRNA from 1 species